GACGAACGCUGGCGGCGUGCUUAACACAUGCAAGUCGAACGGAAAGACCCUGCUUUUGUGGGGUGCUCGAGUGGCGAACGGGUGAGUAACACGUGAGUAACCUGCCCUUGACUUUGGGAUAACUUCAGGAAACUGGGGCUAAUACCGGAUAGGAGCUCCUGCUGCAUGGUGGGGGUUGGAAAGUUUCGGCGGUUGGGGAUGGACUCGCGGCUUAUCAGCUUGUUGGUGGGGUAGUGGCUUACCAAGGCUUUGACGGGUAGCCGGCCUGAGAGGGUGACCGGCCACAUUGGGACUGAGAGACGGCCCAGACUCCUACGGGAGGCAGCAGUGGGGAAUAGUGCACAAUGGGCGGAAGCCUGAUGCAGCAACGCCGCGUGCGGGAUGACGGCCUUCGGGUUGUAAACCGCUUUCGCCUGUGACGAAGCGUGAGUGACGGUAAUGGGUAAAGAAGCACCGGCUAACUACGUG
rnacentral:rRNA from 1 species